rfam:Ictidomys tridecemlineatus contig034270, whole genome shotgun sequence.
GGGAUUGUGGCUCAGUGGUAGAGCACUUGCCUAGCAUGUGUGAGGUACUGGGUUCGAUUCUCAGCACCA